ACAAUGUGUGUACUGUAACUGAUGUGAAAUAUGAUGAAUACAUUAUAGUUUUUGCCAAGAAUGAGAAGCAUUUCCUAUUGGCUGAACUCUAUGGUAAAGUAUUUGCAUGAUGAUACUUACCUACGGGUGGAAGGGCAGGAAACAAAGGAAUCUUACAUAUAAAAUGGUCUUCCCAAGGAUCUCUGGGCCAUCUCUCCCCCACUGAAGACAGAUUUACCUGUGGUCCUCCCCCAGGCUCAGUGAUGGGAUGAUGAUAAAAUCUCCCAGCAUGUCAGGAAGAUACCCUACUGAUGUCAAAUUCUUCCUGAGUACCAAGCUGUCGCCACCCUCCCAAAUCCCUGCUCCUUCAUUCCUCUCUAUAACCAAUUCCCAAGGCACUCUGGUUACUGUCAUUGUGUUUCCAGGUCGACAGCGGGAUGUGAGAACAGAAAUUAGGGAAAAGUUUGUGGACUUUUGUGCAAAACUUGAAAUUCCCGAGGAAAAUAUAGUGGACCUGACAAAAGUUGAAAAUCCUUGUCUUCA